UCAGUGUAAAAUGAAAAAAAGGUUUUUUAGGUUUGAAUUCUGGACCUUUUUUGUCUUGAAACUGCAUCUUCAGAUCUGGUGUUAGAAGAUGUUACAGAAUUGUAAGUCCUCUUUUUGCCUCUUGUUGCUGUUUCCUGUUUGGUUGUGUGAGGAAAUGACUGUGUGAGAUCUAGAACCAAAAUGUGUUUGUAUGUUUUGAAUACUUACCAGCUGAAUAGUCGAUACUUUGCAGUUAAAGUGUGGAGGGUGAUCUAUUCAGGAUGGCCAUGUCACAGAGUAGCAGCUGAAUGAUUUGUGCUGAGAAUUGGCUUCCUGAUUUGUAGGCUUAAUUUUGCAUGGGUAGUGUUUUCUUCUGUAGUUUGUUUGCUUUUCUAUUUCAUUAAGGUGUAGGCAAAGAUUUUUGAACUGAGCUGAUUGAAGGGUAAGUUUUUUAUUCCUGUCAUGCCAUGUUCCUCUGAAAGCUCUUUUGAGUUUCAGUGGUAUUGGAGCCAUUGUCAAGACUUGGAAGGUGAAGCUGUGUCUUUCUGUAUUGAUGAGAGAAGUGAAAUGGAUCUUUUUAGUUGCCAGUGAGAUUACAGCUGAGGGCAGAAGGAUCACAGAGCUUGACCAGAUUUUGCUGAAUGGAAACACCAUAACAAUGCUGGUUCCUGGAGGAGAAGGACCCGAAGUAUAAGUUGGUACAGUUGUCGUCUAUGAAGACAUGUCACGCAUCAUCUAAACAGAGCUUUUGGGGUAGGGAUGUGGGUGGGUUUUGGUGUGCAGGUGCGGGUUGUUGGUUUUGUUUACCCACUCUUCCCGUUGACAUUUGAUAAAAGACAAGGGUUUUCCCUUUGGGAGAGGUGCAUUGUCAAUGAUGCUGACUUUAUAAGCUGAAAUCAUGAGUUUCUUGUAGAGAUGCACCAAUCUGUUGUGAA